rnacentral:lncRNA from 1 species
GCAGCCAGCAUGGCCAGGGAGAAGGGAGCUGCCUCAGUGAACCUGGCUCUACACAGGUGCCCCGUCGUCCCGUCUGGGGACCAGCGCUGCCUGGGUGAAGCCGAGACCAAGGAGAUGGACGCAGAGGAGUAGGUGCUUCUCGGGUGGCUCUGCUGUGGUGCUCCUCUCUGGUGAUUGCCCUGGUGUCGGUGGUGGCGCUAACUUUAUUUCUUGGCUGUGGCUGCACAGAGAGAAAGGCUAUUUGUCAAAGUUUGGAUUGUUCUAACGAAAACUAAGUUUGGGAGCUCAUCAGAGACAGGCUAGCUUAAAGCAAAGCCUGACUGGGGCCUGCUGGCAGUCCCUUCUCGGUGAGAAAGCUGUGCCCUGGUGCCUGCAGCGGGCAGCAAAGGGACGACUCUUGCAGGCAACUGCCCGAGUCGCUCCCCUCCCCGCUCUCUGUUCGCCUGGAAAAACAAGAGUCUGGGGGAAGUGACACAGCACCGUGGCGAGGAACGGGCUGCUGCCCACGAGCCUGCGUGGGCAACCUCUGCUCCUGUCCAAGGAAAUUCCUCAUGCUCGCCCUCGACCUCUCCGACUCGUUGGCCACUGCCCAGGGAAGAUGUCCUCCUCCACUGGAACAGUAACGUGGCGGUACAACGCGACUGUGGUGUGCCGGACCUGCAGGAAACGAGUUUGUGAAAAAUGACAGAACCUCCCUCGCCCCUUUGUACCCAUUAACAGCUGCGUGCAGACUUGCAGGGGCUGAAGAUGUAGGGAGCACAUAAUCCUGUUGGAAGUGCGAUUAUGGGAGUCAUCC